rnacentral:rRNA from 1 species
UACGGAGGGUGCAAGCGUUGCUCGGAAUUAUUGGGCGUAAAGGGUAGGUAGGUGGUCUCAUUUGUCAGGGGUGAAAGCCUUGGGCUUAACCCAAGAAGUGCCCCUGAAACGGUGAGACUAGAGUCCUGGAGAGGGUCGUGGAAUUCCCGGUGUAGCGGUGAAAUGCGUAGAGAUCGGGAGGAACACCAGUGGCGAAGGCGGUCUCCUGGGGCACACUUGACGCUGAGACGCGAAAGCUGGGGGAGCGAACGGG